rnacentral:tRNA from 1 species
GCCCCCGUGGCGCAGCGGAGAGCGCGUCGGAUUCCGGAUCCGAAGGUCGCUGGUUCGAAUCCAGCCGGGGGCACCG